AAAAAAAAAAGAAGAUGAUAAUUCCAGAAUUUUUACUGAAUCUGCGUCUUUAUUUCCUUUGUUUCUUCUUUUAUAUUCAGAUUCUUUCAUGUUAUCAGAGCCACGGUUCAGUUUCUAGGAUCUUUUUUUUCACCUAUUUUUAUCAAGAAUUUUCUUCAAAUUAGACACUUUGAGCAAAUACCCACGACUUCCUCUGUACAAAAUCUGUUUCUCUCUCAGAAAAUCCCCAAUCACUGUUUUUCAUCCACCAUUUGAACCACCAUGGUUCGGUGGUACUUACCCCAAACUCACACCCAAUAAUUACAUUGCUUGGAGUCGUUUCUUCCUUCUCGCACUCUUGAUUAGAAAUAAAUCGAGAUUUAUUGAUGGCACCAUUGUAGAACCAAAGAAUUCUGAUGCACUUCAUGCUCCUUGGACAAAGUGCAAUAAUCUCAUCGUUGCAUGGCUUAUUGAGUCUCUUUCACCGCCCAUUGCAUCCACUGUAUAAUAUAUCAACUCAACAGCUCCAAUUUGGGAGAUGCUGAAGAAGAGAUUUUCUCAACCCGAUGAUUCCAAAAUAUGCAAUCAGCUGUUCACCCACUCUAACUUUAUUCAAGAAUGUAUGAUUCAAGACACCAAGUCAUGGAUGAAGACUAGUCUUGCUAACGUUAUAGCUGGAUUAUAUAUCUUGCAAAAUAAGGAUGCUAUUCCAAAUUAUUAAACUACCUCAGAAGUCUUUACAGCUUUUCUCUCUAAUAAUCGUGUUUUAAAAAAUAAUGUAUUGUCCUUUUGAGAUGUAUAUGCUACAUCUUGUAAUUCUUUGCCAAAAGCAUUCAAUCUUUGGCACUUUAGGUUAAGACAUAUUUCAAUAAAGAGAUUGCAAGCUAUACAUAAAAAAUGUCCAACAGUGACUUUUCUUCCAAAUUCAGUUUGUGAAAUAUGCCCAUUAGCUAAACAAAAGAAAUUGCCAUUUCCAAUUCAUACUAAAUCUACUGCUGAAUGUUUUGAAUUAGUCCAUAUGGGUAUUUGGGUGCCUUAUACUGCUGCCAUGAAAGGAUAUUGUUAUUUUUUAACUAUUGUGAAUGAUUUUAGUAAAUUCACAUGGGUUUACUUGAUGAAAGCUAAAUCUGAUGUCUUUUCCAUUAUUCCUAUGUUCUAUAAUCUAAUUUUGACUCAAUUUGAUAAGAAGAAAAAAGAAAAUUAGGUCAGAUAAUGGCCUUGAAUUUAAUUGACUUGAAUUUUAUUCAUCAAAAGGAAUUAUUCAUCAAACUUCUUGUGUGGGGACUCUUCAACAAAUUGGGGUGGUAGAAAGGAAGCACCAACAUUUAUUAAGCUUCACCAAUUCAUUUUUAGGGUGAAUCAAUUAUGGUUGCAACUAACAUUAUAAAUAGGGUGCCUACAACUAUUUUAAAUAAUUUGACUCCUUAUGAAAUAAUGUUUGGAAAAACUCCUGAUUGUUCACAUCUUAGAGUUUUUGGAACAUUAUGUUUUGCAUCAACAUUGAGUCAUAAUAGAAGAAAAAUUUGAUCCAAGAGCUAGAAAAUGCAUAUUCAUAGGAUAUCCUGUAGGAAUGAAAAGUUUUGAAUUGUAUGAUCUCCAGACACAUAAACUAUUUGUUUCCAGAGAUGUUAUUUUCUUUGAGCAUAUAUUUCCAUAUCAAGAUUCAUAUAUCAUUCCUCAACCUCAUGACUAUGAUAAUUUAUUUUUUGAAAAUCCACUUUUUGUUCCAUCACAUUCUUGCUUAGAUAUAAAUUGUGAUUCUAACCUUUUACCUUCUUUGGAUGUUGAGAACAACACUAUUGUACCUAUUGAUACCUUACCAUCGAGUCUAAUUGAUUCUGUUCCUCCCCAUAACUCCUUGGAUAAUCCUUUUGACCUCUAAUGAAUUUAUUGUUGAUAGUUAUGUUGAUGAACUGCAUGCCACAGUUACUCCAUUUUCUGAGUAGUCACCAAAACCCUCCCUCACUAGAAAAAGCACCAAAAUAAAGAACAUUCCAAAAUAUUUGGAAGCUUACCAACAUGACUUACCUUCUCAAUCCAAUUUGGUCACUGAUCAUCUAAUUCAAAAAGUUCUUUCUUUUAGCCGACCAUCUUAUCCUCAUGGAAUUUUUACUACUUCUUUAAGCCAAAUUCCCGAGCCUAAAACCUAUAAAUAGGCAGUAAAGUAUCCUCAGUGGCAAGCAGCUAUGAAAUCUGAGAUUGAGGCUUUGGAGAAUAAUGGGACUUGGUCUAUGGUUCCUCUUCCUAAUGACGCACAUACCAUAGGAUGCAAUUGGGUGUAUAAGGUAAAAUUGCGAGCUGAUGGGAGCAUUGAACGAUUUAAGGCCAGCCUGGUUGUGAAGGGUUACAGUUAGCAGGAAGGAUUUGAUUAUCAUGAGACUUUCAGCCUUGUGAUUAAACAUUUAACAGUGAGGAUAUUUCUCUCUCUAGCCAUAAUUUAUGGUUGGCAUCUAUCCCAAUUAGACAUAGACAAUGCAUUUAUUUAAGGCGACUUAAAGGAGACAAUGUAUAUGAAUCUACCCGAGGGCUCUCUAGUUCAGAGGGAGUGUCCAAGAUCCUCACGGCUAGUUUGUAAGCUUAGAAAAUCAUUAUAUGAGCUUAAAUAAGCCUCCAAAUAGUAGAAUUCUAAAUUCACUACUGCUCUCAUAGAUUUUGGGUUUCAACAAUCUAAGUCAGAUAAUUCUCUGUUCACAAAAAGGACUGACAAAGGAGAGUUCAUAGCUUUGAUGGUCUAUGUGGAUGACGUAGUAAUUGGCAACACUACAAUGAUAACAGUAGAGGAGGUGAAACAAUAUUUAAAAACAAAAUUGAAGCUCAAGGACUUAGGAGGACUUAAAUGCUUCCUUGGUUUAGAAAUGGCAAGAUCAAGAAAAGGUAUUUUUCUUUGUCAAAGAAAAUAUGCUCUAGAUUUAAUCAAUAAGUAUGGAUUAUUGGGAUGUAAACCUGCUUCAACACCCAUAGACUAUAAUCAUAAGCUUGCAAAGGAUAAUGUUAAUGAAAAUUUUGUGAAUUCUACUACAUAUAGGCAACUAGUGGGGAGACUUUUAUAUUUAACUUUCACUAAACCUAAUAUUGCUUAUGUUGUCCAGUGCUUAUCAUAGCUUAUGGAAAAACCUAGUGAUGUUCAUUUACAAGUGCAUAAAGGGUUCUCAAGUAUUUGAGGAAGGCACCAAGGCAAGGCAUACUAUUGGCAUCUCAUUUUGAUUUACAUUUGAAGGUGUAUACUAACAGUGAUUGGGCUGGUUGUCAAGAAACCAGAAGGUCUAUUACAAGUUUUGGUGUGUUCAUGGGUGAUUUGCUUGUCAGUUGAAAAUCCAAGAAACAAUCUUUCGUGGCAAAGAGCUCCACAGAAGCUGAAUAUAAGGCCAUGGCUGUGGCAUCUUGUGAAAUUGUAUAGAUUUUAUCUUUACUUGCUGAUUUUGGUGUUACACAUAAACGACUAUUUGAUUUUUAUUGUGAUAAUCAAUCUGUUCAACAUAUAUGUAAAAAUCUUGCCUUUUAUGAAAGGACUAAACAUAUAGAUAUA
rnacentral:sRNA from 10 species